AAAAUAAGGGAUAAACCUACUUUAAGAAGAACAGUUAUUCCCUUGGGGCAAAUACUUCAGAAAACCUCCCGAGUUUCAGACAUUUCUGAGAAUGUAGUCAAACGCUGAAUUUCAAAUGUAGCUCUGCUAUUGGUGGAGACCUUCAUACAGCGCGUCUGUGGAGCAGCGCACACACUUACACACGCACACACACACUUCCUCUCAGAGCGGGACGGCUGGGGGAGUUUCUCCAGUUUGAAUGUCCCACUCAGAACUGCUGGAAAAUAAACACAAUAGCUGGGAAUUUAUGUUUGUUGACAAAAAUGGAUUAUAGCAAACAAAACUCGCAUCACGUGACCAUCAGAGAAAGGAGGAAGAGACUUCACAGGGAAUCUCUCUGGCUGCAGGAUCCAGUGCUCCCUAAGGGACCGUCAACAAAGAAGCCGUGUCAUGAAUUGAAGAGGCCUUCUGACAGCAGAGCCAGGAGAUCUUCAGUGCGACACAUCAGAUCUGUCAGGGACAAAAGGCCAUUGGCCGCAAGUCAGGAGGAAAAUGUUACUAGGCCUGCUGAGGGGAACUGGAGGAAAGCUGUUAGCCGAAAUUCAUCUGCUCAAGUUAAAGUGGCUUCUGUGGUCAAAACUACUGUAAAGAACGAUAAACAACCUGCCACCAAAAAGAGGAGGAAAAUUCACCCGUCGGGUUUCAGAGGAAAAGGUCAGCUUAAACUGAUAGUCACUCCAGGCCGAGGGUGGCUUUAUAUGCAAGUUUUGGAGGCCAGAGGACUCAUGGGAAGAGAAUACAGACCAUGUGACUCAUAUGUAAAGAUAAGCAUCGCUCCGGAUGUUGACCACAGCAAGCGCUGGAAAACCAGGACUGUUCUGGACUGCAAGAGUCCUGUUUUCAACGAGGGCUUUAUGCUAGACGUAGAUGAAGAUGAUCAGAAGAAGAGGCUGCUGGUGACAGUGUGGAAUCGGGACCGUGAUUCCAGGCGCAGUGACUUCCUGGGCUGUAUGAGUUUUGGUGUCCACUCCCUCAUCACUUCAUCUAAGGAGAUCAGAGGUUGGUAUUAUCUCCUGGGUGAGGAGCUGGGCAGGAGCAAACAUCUGAAAGUGGCCUCACGUCGCAUCAGGCAGACCGCCGAAGCUGCUGCACCCAACUAUGAAGCUGGACCCGAGAGCAGCGGUCCUGAGAACAUGCAGUCAUUUACAGUGACCAUUUUGAGAGGAAAAGAUGGUUUUGGCUUCACCAUCUGCUCUGACUCUCCUGUACGGGUCCAGGCUGUUGAUCCAGGUGGUCCAGCUCAUCAGGCCGGUUUACAACAGCUAGACACAUUACUGCAGCUGAACGGCCAGCCGGUUGAACACUGGAAGUGUGUGGAUCUGGCUCAUGCCAUCAGGAACUGUCGUAAUGAGAUCACAGUGGUGGUUUGGAGGACUGUGCCUAUCAUGAAGCCUUACUAUGAGGGGCUGAUUCACAGGCCUUCCUACAAGCCUUCCGGAUUCGAGUCUCUCUCUUCGACCGCAAAGACUCAAAACAAAACGCCACCUUUGCUCUCUCGGCCUACCAAUCACAAACAGGGCCGCCGUAAAAAAGGAAGCAGCUCUGAUAAUGCGGGAAGCGGCGUGGGAGAGUCACUGUGGUCUUGGACUGGCAAGCGAGAAGAAAACGACUACAAAACGCGCACCCAGACUCUCAAAGGUACCCGUGUGACAUCAUCGAACGGCGAUAACUAUAUCAUCCUCUCGCCUGUCAGCCCCGGAAACCAGAUAUUGCAGCCAGUGUAUUCUGACUCCAAUGGGACGCUGGGAACUCUAGGAAGAAUCUACCAGACUAGCAGAGGACUGCAGCAGAGCCCAGACUACCUUCAGGAUGGUGGCCUACAAGGCCAAGCCACCUUGUGUCGAACUAUGAGCAGUAAAACCACCACCCUGCCCCCCUCAUCUUACAGACAGAGCUUCGCCAACUACCAGAACUGCACCAUCGUCCAGUCCCACCUGCCUCACUCCAACUAUGGCACAUACGUCAGUCUGGCCCCCAAGAUUCUGAUCUUCCCUGUUUUUGUACAGCCACUGGACCUGUGCAGCCCAGAGAGAGUCCUGAUGUUGUCGGAGGAAAUGAUCCUUCACGACAGUAAACACAUUGCUCUUAAGGCCACAGUGUUCAUCUACACAGACCUGCUGCUGUUGACCAGGGAAGAUGAACCGGGACGCUGUAAUGUACUGCAGAGUCCACUCUACCUCCAUCAGAUACAGCUACAGGACGUUCCUGCAGACAAGCUGCGGCUCUACAUCUCCUACUGGAUAGAGAGAACCGAGUGUCUGUUCAGCCUGGAAGCCUUUUCAUCGGAGCAGAAGAGGAGGGUCGUGCAGUGUCUGAGAGACAAUAUUGACAAGCAGCUCGCCCUGAGGGAAAGAAUAGGCCCUGACCAGAUGCUGGAACCAAAGGCAGCAGAACAGGCUGAUCUGGGUCUCUUGGGCUUCAGUCCACACAGUGUGUCCGAGCCCUGUUCCCCAUCAUGCCCUUCCGCAUCGCCUAUCCUGAGACGAACCAACUGCACCUCUCCAGCCCAGCGCCUCUCAUACCCAGACCUGCCAGACGCCAACCAAACCUCUCCGACCUCUCGAGACGCCUGCAAACCUUCAUACACGGACACCUCAGAGAUCUGGAAGAACAGGCAGAAGGAGGUCAAAGAAUCGGACCUGGAAAAAAGAGAGCAAGGUGAAGGCGAAAGCGCUUCCGAAACCAUCAGCGUUGGCGCACGACCCACCUCUUCCUCGUCAUCUUCAUCACCUCUAGUCAUUCCUAAGUUGUGCCUGGAUCGCUCCUUCAACACAGAUGCUUUGACCUCACCUUCGACUGAUGAUGAUGAUGACGAUGAGGAGGAAGACGAGGAGGACAGUGAUGAAGGCUUUCUGAAGAGGAGGAGUAUGGUGGAAUCGUCUCCCUGCGGCGGGCAGCAGAGCGGGGGCUUGUGUGUGCAGAGGUCUCUCCACAGGCGGACACACAGCGAGGGCAGUUUGCUGCAGGAGCCUCGGUCUCCUCGCUUCAUCUCCGACCAGGCCAUCGACUGCAUUGAAGCCAAGCGGGAAACUCCGGAGCGCUGGGCGGUUCCUUCCCCACAGACCCUGAGGAAAGAGCUCACCAAGAACGGAGGAUCCGUCCACCAGAUCUGCCUGCUCUUUACUGGAAGGAGGGUUUGUGGCAAGCCGAACUGUAAAUGUGACAUGGGAAAAACUGCUGUCAAAAAGAAGAAGUCCAAGAAUUUGGCCAAAGACAUGAAAAACCGCCUGACGUUUCUGAGGAAGAAGACCAACGACAGACAUGGAAGCAAUCCAGCCAGCAAGCUGGACAAAGUCCUUAAGUCAGACAAGCCCGCUCCAGAGGAAGCGCUCAAAUGGGCAGAGUCUCUCGACACGCUGCUUUCUCACAAAUAUGGCCUGGCGGUUUUCCGUUCCUUCCUACAAACAGAGUUCAGUGAGGAGAAUCUAGACUUCUGGCUGGCAUGUGAGGAGUUCAAGAAGAUCAAAUCACUGUCCAAAAUGACCUCCAGAGCAAAGAAGAUAUUCACAGAGUACAUCUCUAUACAGUCCUGCAAAGAGGUUAAUCUGGACUCGUACACCAGAGAGCACAUCAAGGAGAACAUGGAGAACAUCUGCGCAGACUGCUUCGACUUGGCGCAGAGCCGGAUUUUCGGACUCAUGGAAAGAGACUCGUACCCUCGCUUCCUCCGCUCUGACAUUUACAUGGAGUUAACCAAUCAAAAGAGACCCGGCUCCGCUGCGGACCCGUCCUAAAGCUGAAGAGACGCCCAAACACAUCAGUAUUGCUGGAGACACAGGUUUAGUAGAACGGAACAUGUCUGCGUUCACAUCAUCCAAUGUAUUGAACCGUCAGUCGGCCUAGCACCUUGGAGAGCUCAGCCCCGCUGAAUCAUGGGAAGGACUGAUUGUUUUUGGAUGCUUCUGUGCUGCACCCUGUUGGACAGCAUUGAUAUGGCGAUGAAUGUGGUUUGAACAUGCUGGAAGUGUUGUGCUCAUGGUGUGGGAGCAUAUGGAAGAUAAGAACGCAUGCUGGGUAUUGAGCGAACAAAAAAAGAAAUGAGAGACUUUUGGUACAGUUUUAUUUAGCUCUAUUAGGAGACAACUUUCACUUUUCUUUUCCUUUCCUGCACAGACCUCAACAUACUCCUCUUUCCCCAGUAAUACAUCAGUGAGGACCUGAGUAUUUCCCAGCAGGCACAUGGAUGUCAAAAUGACUUCAUAAAAACGUCAAUAAUUCUAAUCGAUUUGAUGUCUAGACUUUAACGUCUAUUUGACAUCUACAUAUUGAUGCCAUUUUGACCACUAAACUAUUACAAUCUAAAAAACGUUUAAUUCAUCUAAAAUAUUCAAUUGCAAAUUACAAAUUUACAGUGGAUUUUGAAUCUCUACAAUGUAAAUUAUACCUACAGUAGAUGUUAAAACGACAUCAAAUUGACAUCUAAAAUUGGUGUCAAAAAAUGUCAUAAAUCGAUUUCAGGGCAGUUUUUAGAGUUUAUUUUAGUUUAGUUUCGAAACAGCAAAAAAUUGAUUACAAGACUCUCCUGUAAUACAUUUUUGACAUCUGUAAGAUUUAAUUGCAAAUACCAAAUUUACACCAGAUAUUGUGACUCUACAAUGCAUGAUGUCAAAACUACAUCAAAUUGACAUCUAACAUUGGUGUCAAAAAAUAUAAAAAAUCGAUUUUAGGGCAGUUUUUUAUGUCAUUUUGAAACUUAUACAUUAUAAGACUGUCCUGUAAUAAUUUUUUAGAUUAAUUUUUGACAUCUGAAAUAUUCAAUUGCAAAUUACAAAUUUACAGUGGAUUUUGAAUCUCUACAAUGUAAAUUAUACCUAGAUGUUAAAACGACAUCAAAUUGACAUCUAAAAUUGGUGUCAAAAAACGUCAUUAAUCGAUUUCAGGGCCGUUUUUAAAGUUUAUUUUAUUUAUUUAUUUUUUUGUUGUUUCGAAACAGCAAAAAAUUGAUUACAAGACUCUCCUGUAAUAAAUUUUUGACAUCUGUAAGAUUUAAUUGCAAAUACCAAAUUUACACCAGAUUUUGUAACUCUACAAUGCAUGAUGUCAAAACGACUUCAAAUUGACGUCUAACAUUGGUGUCAAAAAAUAUAAAAAAUCGAUUUCAGGGCAGUUUUUUUAUUUCAUUUUGAAACUUAUAUUUACAUUAUAAGACUGUCCUGUAAUAAUUUUUGUAGAUGAGUUUUCGACAUCUGAAAGAUUCAAUUGCAAAUUACAAACGUACACUGGAUUUUGUAUGCCUACAAUGCAUGUAAUUUAGGUGUCCAAAUGACAUCAAAUUACCAUGUUGAUGUUUUUUGAUGUUGUUUCGAAACGCGUCAAAAACUGAUUACAAGACUGUUCUGUAAUAAUUUUUUUAUAUGAAGCUACCUAGAAAUCAAAACAAAAUCAAAUUGAGAUCUAACAUUGGUGUCAAAAAAUAUAAAAAUCGAUUUCAGGGAAGGUUUUUCUAUGUUUUUUGAUGUCAUUUGAAACGCGUCAAAAAAUCAUACAAGACUGUCCUGUAAUCUUUUUUUUUUUAAUUUUUGAUAUCUGAAAGAUUCAAUUGAAAUUACAAAUUUACAUUGGAUUCUGUAUUCCUACAAUGCAUGUAAAUUAUACCUAGAUGUUAAAAUGACAUCAAAUUUACAUCUAAAAUUGGUGUCAAAAAAACAUCAUAAAUGGAUUUCAGGGCAGUUUUUUUUUUUUUGACAUUUUUUCUUAAUUUAAUUUCAAAACGUCAAAAAACUGAUUACAAGACUGUCCUAUAAUACAUUUUUGAGAAAAAUGUUUUCACUAGAUGUCAAAAUGAGUUCAAAUUAACAUCUAACAUUGGUGAGAAAAAAACAGCAAAAAUUGAUUUCUGAGAUUUUUAUUUUUUUGGAAGUAUGGAACACGGCAAAACAUUGAUUAUAAGACUUAGAUUUUGUAUCCUUACAAUGCAUGUAAAUUAUACCUAGAUGUUAAAACAGCAUCAAAACGACAUCUAAAAUUGGUGUCAAAAAACAAAUCGAUUUCAGGGCAGUUUUUUGACAUUUUUUUUACUGUCCUGUAAUCAAUUUCAUGUUAAUUUCAUUUCAUAUUAAUUACCCAAAUGUUAAAACAACUUCAAAUUGACAUCUAAAAUUGGUGUUAAAAAACGUCAUAAAUCGAUUUCAGGCGUUUUUUUAUUAUGUCGUUUUGAAACAUGUCAAAUUGAUUACAAGACUGCCCUGUAAUAUUUGACAUGAAUUUUUGACAUCUAAAAGAUUCAAUUGCAAACUACAAAUGUACACUGGUUUGUGUAUCCCUGCAAUGCAUUUAAAUUACUUGUCAAAAUGACAUCAAAUUGACAUCUAAUAUUGGUGUCAAAAAACAUCGAUUUCAAUCGAAAUCGAAAAAUCGAUUUCAGGGCAGUUUAUGAUGUGUUUUUUAAUGUAGUUUAGAAACACGUCAAAACAAGUGAUUACAAGACUGUCCUGUCAUAAAUUUUUGAGAUAGGUAGUCAAUUGACAUCAAACCUGUAUGCAUUUUUGACUGUUUUUAAUGUCCUUUUGACAUCAAAAUGCCUGCUGGGUAGGUUUUUUUUUUUAUCUAAGCUGCAGUUUGAAAAUGUUUAUAUUGUCUACAGCUGAAACUCUUCACAGUCAGAACACUAAUUCUUACUUUUAAGGGCUUUGGUAACAUUUCCAUGUCAUUUUAAUGGCACUGUGACUUUAAUAAAGUGCAAUAUACAGUUAGUUAUUCUAAAUAAUAUAUCUUUAACAAAACAGCAUAUUAAAGGGGUCAGAUUUUAUAUAUACACACAUAUACAUAUUGUACAAAUUCUCUCUAUGAUCAAAUUUGAGUCUAGUAUGGUAGUUCAUAUGAAAGAAAAUAUAAUUUUGUUGUAAAUAACGGAGAUAUACUGACUAACAGUUAUAGUGAUGGUUAUUCUGUUUGGUGUUAUUAGAUGUCAAAGAAAAUCAGAAUAAUAUGACUGAAAGACAGCUGAAUUUGUGUUUGAUAUUUGCCUAACAUAGAGGAGUGUGUGUUGUACAUAGACGUAUGUGUUAUGUGUUGAUUUAGCAUUAUUUGGCUGACUGGGAGACUCAAGUUUGGCAAAUGCAGUGUCGGUUUCCUCCUGCCUUCAUCCUAACAAUAGAGCUUUCCUUCUAUAGUAAUAAUGAUUUCCUGUAUUUAUUUGUGGGUUCAUAUUUCACUCACUGCUGCCUUUAUGUAACAUAUUCUCAUCAAAUAAAACUCAAUUCAAGCA